rnacentral:rRNA from 1 species
AGUGAACGCUGGCGGUAGGCCUAACACAUGCAAGUCGAACGGCAGCACAGUAAGAGCUUGCUCUUACGGGUGGCGAGUGGCGGACGGGUGAGGAAUACAUCGGAAUCUACUUUUUCGUGGGGGAUAACGUAGGGAAACUUACGCUAAUACCGCAUACGACCUACGGGUGAAAGCAGGGGAUCUUCGGACCUUGCGCGAUUGAAUGAGCCGAUGUCGGAUUAGCUAGUUGGCGGGGUAAAGGCCCACCAAGGCGACGAUCCGUAGCUGGUCUGAGAGGAUGAUAAGCCAAACUGGAACUGAGCCACGGUCAAGAGUCCUAAGGGAGGCAGCAGUGGGGAAUAUUGGACAAUGGGCGGAAGCCUGAUCCAGCCAUCCCGCGUCGGUGACAAAGGCCUUCGGGUUGUAAAGCCCUUUUGUUGGGAAAGAAAAGCAGCAGGUUAAUACCCCGCUGUUCUGACGGUACCCAAAGAAUAAGCACCGGCUAACUUCGUG